UUUCCAAAACUGGGCUAACAGUGUUUACAUUGUGCCAGCAUACUUAAGAAGCUGAAUGAAAUAAAUAAAUAAAAUAAAUAAAAGAAGUAUCUAUCUUUCAAAAGUAAAUGUGAUACAAUAAGGAAACCUUUAUUCUAAAAUGAUUUCAAUUUAUUGACCAAGCUACAGGAUAAAGAAAAAGCAUUUCAAAUUGUGCUUUUCACCUCCGCAGCAGUGCUUGAAGUUGAUGGGCUCUCCCAGAGAGCGUGGAAAUCUUAAGCAACUCUAAAUUAGCCCUCAAUUUCUCUAUUUUAAAUUAAUCUGCUGACCUAUGGUCGUUAAACAACCAUAAAUUCUGCACUAGCUGAGAAAUAUUUAAUUUUUUCUUCUAGGGGGAGUGUGUGGGUGUCUGCCUGCAAAGGAGGGCUAACCCCUCUUGGCCUUUGACCAAAGAGUGGUGACGGUUUUCUACGUAAAUGCUUCCUAUCCCUGAAGCUUUUUUCUCUUUUAUGCUGUCUUUUUUCCAUCUAUUCUGCACUUAAAUCCGGGGCCCCCAAAUUCUGGCUCGUCCCUUCACCCUUGUCCGAUCCCAUACAGUUCCCCCAAUUUCCGCGCGGGGUGACACCUGAGGGCCGAGCGCGAACCCCUGCGGCUGGCGCUAACUAGGCGCGAAUAGGGCAGACGGCUGUCACUGGGGAGCAGACGUGGGCCAAAGCCGAGGUGAUUUCUGACUGCUCAUCGCCCGGCCCCGCGUGGCUGAAGGUCUCCGAGCCCCUUGGUCCGCCCCGGCAAGCCAGGCGUGCAGCUGUCGCGGUGCAGGAAGCUAAUCGCGGCCUCUGGGCCGCUUUUGACAGACCGGGCAGGAAAAGAAAGGGGCUCACUGAGACUAGUAGCCUCACCCCUUCGGAUAGGAGACCCCGAGAGCGAAACCCCCGCCACGGCCUGAAGGCAAGCGAGACACCUCGGAGCCGCCGCCACCGACUCAGCCCAGCCCAGCAGGGGCCCGCCCAGGGGCCACUCCCCAAGGGAGGCAGCCAGUCAUUCGCCCGCCCUUCCGGGCCCGCUCCGGAGGGGACGGUCUCCCGCCCGCCCUCACACAGCUACCUCCUCAGGCCAGGCCCUCAGGGCUUCGUCCACCUCUCACCUUUGACGACUCGAUUGCAGGGUAUAACUGCUUUGCCUCCAGUCAUCAUCUGGGGGCAUAUCCACCCUUCGAGGACCAGGGGCUCGAAACCCUGGAACAGGACCUGAAUUCCAAGCUGACCUCAGGGGUACACGAAGACUGCUUGGCGCCAGAAACUGCUGGACACUCCUCGAAGUUCCUGGGAAGAGAAAAGAAACCCAACGAUUGAGCAUCUUCAGUAAAACCAUUCUCCUUUCCAGAGGACCAUUUCUGGCUGUUCCUUCCAACUCCCCACCUCUCCAAGAACAUACACAUAAGGGAAAGAAGGAACCUAGCUUUGCUUUUAAUCUCAUUUUUUAAAAUUCUUAAUAAACAUUAAAAUCAAGUCUC